rnacentral:lncRNA from 1 species
GAUAGCUCACCUCUUGGUAACCGAAAGACGUAUCAACAACUAGAUGGCGCUACUCGAAAACCGUAUCGAGAUUUCUCAUUCUCUCUCUGACUUGCGAGGAGGUAGGAGUAGUGUCAGGGCCGAACUUACCCUAUAGGUGUGUUAUCUGUGACAAGUGUUGUGACAAGUUAUAGCGAAAAAAAAGGACUCACAUUUUAGAUGAAAUGGCCUCUGUAACGCAUAACUAUGUUUACGCGGGAUGUUUUGAGAGAAACGAUGGAACAAAUAAUAAUAUAUCUUUCUUUAAAUUUCCACUGAAAGACGUAGAGCGUACAAAAAUUUGGCAAAAAAACUGCGGGAACAUUGAUAUUUUAUUGAUGGAUAUCACUGACCUUAAACAGAGGGUAAUUUGCCAGCAUCAUUUUGCAGUGGAACAUAUUUACCAAAGUGGCCAAAGAAAGUUAUUAAGGAAAAAUGCUGUUCCUCUAAAAUUUACACAGUUAACAACUGAUUUAGGUGAGUACUCAAUUUUAUAAAUAUUUUUAUGUUUGCCUAAUGCGCUUUGUCAAUGAGAAUAAUACUAUUAAAAUAUAUUUUAUAUAAAAUCAGUUGAUAUUGAGUGAUUUAUAUAUUUUUUAUACAAUUAAAUCAAAAGAGAUUUUUUUUUAAAUAUGAAUGCGUUGUUAGUAUCACCCCCGAAAUAACGGAGAUGCUUGUUUUGCUUUAAUUAAAAGUACACAUACAUUUCAAUGAUUACCUAUUUUAGGUGAUACCCCACCAGUAUUAUGCUCUACAUACGUUUAUUGCGGUACGAAACGUAAAAAAUCUACAAGUGGCGAUUGUAUGGUUAGGUCAACUCCAUCGCCUAAGAGAUCAAGUAGUAGUCUCAGUGAUAUUUCCAGUUUUGAAAUUAAUUUGCCCACAAAACUUGAAACUGAAUUGACGGAGAAGGUAAAAAAAUUGGAGUAUCAAGUAAAUGCUUUAAAGAAGAAGUGCCGUCAGAAGAACAGUCAGCGUUGUAGAAGAACAACAAAAAA